rnacentral:lncRNA from 1 species
UAUCACCCAACUCCUAAAGGGAUUAAUUAUUUCUAUUUCUUUUAUAAGCAUUUUAAAUAGCUUUAUCAAGAAACAGAGCAUACUUGAUCAAACAGAGCUGAAAUUAAUCAUGGAGCUAAAUAACAUUAACACAAGCUCACAUAUUAAAUUUCAUGAUUUUUGGAUAUACCUAUGAACUAUUAAAAAUCAUGGAAGGUUUAUUCAUUAAUAAACAAAGGCAAUUUAUAUAUAUAUGAAAAUUACCAGAAAACAGAACCUAACAUUUUUCUUAUGCUCUAUCCAUUUUAUGUAAGCUAUACAAAAAUUUUCACAAUUUUUGGAUUAGCACAACAUUUACUACACAAAAUCAAACAUCAAUCACUUUUGAACAAAAAGGAAAAAGAAAAAGAAAACAGCGCAGUGGGCUGCUUGGAAACUGGGCCGCAGACCGGCCCACUGCUUCCGGCCCGCGUCCGCGCCGCGCACGCCCGCGCGCUUUCUCUCUCUCUCAGCCACUGACAGGGUAGCCCCACCCGUCAGAUCUCUCUCUCUCACGCACGGCGGCUCGGCCGCAACUCCGGCGACCGAUAGUGAGGCCCUCGGCCUCCGCGCGCGCGCGCAUCGGCUCCGCCUCAACUCCGCGACUCCAUUGGUACCACUCGCGGACGCUCUACCUCACUGCUACCACCUCGGCCACGAUAGGAGCGGGCGGUCGCCAUGGCCGACUGUCGGCCGGCCACUAGGACCCGGUAGAGAGCAAACGAAUGGCGUAGAGAGGUUCAAGGUGGUGUAGGGAACACGAUGCUCACGUCACCACGGUGGGAGAAGUAGCUGAAGUUGUUGGCGACGGAGACAGUGCGAUCGGGCGGGCGCUCCGGCUCCGGCGAGCUCGUUUCGGCGAUUCUGUUCGCGCCCAAAGGAAAAGAGAGAGAGCAUGAGCUACUAGAACACAAGAGAAACUCGAAACAGCUGCCAUGGAAACGUGAUACCGACUAGAACACCGUGGCCACGGUAAGAGCCCCACGGCGGCAGUUCUGGCCGGAGAUGGAGAAGAUGGAGGUGUCUCGGCGAUUGAGAGGGUUAUGGGGCGAGCUUGGUGGUGUUCUGGAUUCGCAAGGAGGUGGCGAACAUCAUGGACAGCUCAAUUUGAUGCGAGGAGAAUCGAGCACGGCCAAUUUGGAUGGAGACGAGAUGCUGCUCCUCGGUGCUCCGGUGGCGGAAAUGGAGUCGACGAGCGCAGCAGAGAAGGGCACGUCGCGCCUCUGGUUGCCAGCAGCUGCUCCACAUCGUCACGGACGUGAACACGCGCGUGGACGAGGUAAAACGGUGACCAUGCGCUGGCAUUCACCGAUCCAGACUCGGGUGUCCACCGCCAUGAACAGGAGCCAAAGCUUAUCCCCCCCUUUUUGUCUGGUUUUGCAAAAAUCGACCAAAAGAUGAACUGAAGCCAAAUUUUCACCAAAAAUAAACUUGUGCAAAAUUUUGUGAGCUACAAAACAUAUUUAGGUGUCCCAAGCUGAUUCUGAGUGGAAACUAGUGAUUUUGCCAAAACAGUUUUGAAAUUCAAAUCCCAAAUUGGGGAAAUUCCAAAUUUUGAAUUGGAGCAGAUUAGAAUUUCCAAAAUUACUUUUGAUUUUCCAAAACAACUUGAAAAACUAUCAACAUGAAAGUUGUUCAAAUUUUCAAGCCCUACAACUCUCAUGUUGACCAUUUUUCAAAAUUCCAAACAGAUUUUGAAUUGGAGAUUUAAGUUUGAAAAGAGGACACUUUCCGGAAAUCUGUAUUUUCAAAAUUACUUUGAAUUUUGUACUGAAACUUCAAAAACUCAAAACACCAAAGUUGUACAUCUUGACAAGAUCUACAACUUUGCUUUUGAACUCAACUUCAAACUUUGCUUUGUUUUUGAAUUGCACAAAAGGGGCAAAUCUAGGUUUUUGAAAUUAGGGUUUCCCCCUUAAGUCUUUCGGAAAAACUUUCACCCAGGGUUUUAAUCACCAACACAAACAUCCAUACACAAUAUAAGCACACUUUAAUUUCCUAAGCACAAUCAACCAAAAUAACCUUAUUUUAAGUUGAUGCAUAAUAAUGUGCUUAACAAAUAUGCUUUGCAAUGCUUAUGAUGACAUGAUCCAGUUUUAGUGUUCGUAACAUCAGGGAUGUUACAGCCUUAAAUUUCAUGAUUUUUGGAUAUACCUAUGAACUAUUAAAAAUCAUGGAAGGUUUAUUCAUUAAUAAACAAAG